GAUGAAGAACGUAGCGAAAUGCGAUAAGUAAUGUGAAUUGCAGAAUCCAGUGAAUCAUCGAAUCUUUGAACGCACAUUGCGCCCGCCAGCAUUCUGGCGGGCAUGCCUGUUCGAGCGUCAUUUCAACCCUCGACCUCCCUUUGGGGAAGUCGGCGUUGGGGACCGGCAGCACACCGCCGGCCCUGAAAUGGAGUGGCGGCCCGUCCGCGGCGACCUCUGCGUAGUAAACCAACUCGCACCGGAACCCCGACGUGGCCACGCCGUAAAACACCCAACUUCUGAACGUUGACCUCGAAUCAGGUAGGACUACCCGCUGAACUUAAGCAUAUCAAUAAGCGGAGGA
rnacentral:misc_RNA from 1 species